rnacentral:hammerhead_ribozyme from 1 species
AUGCGAAACCCGCCCCGGCAGCCGGGGCGUGGUCGGCCGGGUGUGGUGGCCCGGUCCUGAUGAUGCAGCCGAGG